UACGUAGGGGGCAAGCGUUGUCCGGAAUCAUUGGGCGUAAAGCGCGCGUAGGCGGCCCGGUAAGUCCGCUGUGAAAGUCAAAGGCUCAACCUUUGAAUGCCGGUGGAUACUGUCGGGCUAGAGUCCGGAAGAGGCGAGUGGAAUUCCUGGUGUAGCGGUGGAAUGCGCAGAUAUCAAGAGGAACACCAGUGGCGAAGGCGAGUCCCUGGACAAUACCUGACACUGAGGCACGAAAGCCGGGGGAGCAAACAGG
rnacentral:rRNA from 1 species